UACGGAGGGUGCAAGCGUUGCUCGGAAUUAUUGGGCGUAAAGGGUAGGUAGGUGGUCUCAUUUGUCUGGGGUGAAAGCCUUGAGCUUAACUCAAGAAGUGCCCCAGAAACGGUGAGACUAGAGUCUUGGAGAGGGUCGUGGAAUUCCCGGUGUAGCGGUGAAAUGCGUAGAGAUCGGGAGGAACACCUAUUGCGAAGGCAGCUCGCUGGGACGUUACUGACGCUGAGACGCGAAAGCGUGGGGAGCAAACAGG
rnacentral:rRNA from 1 species